CCUACGGGAGGCAGCAGUAGGGAAUCUUGCUCAAUGGGGGAAACCCUGAUGCAGCAACGCCGCGUGGAGGAUGAAGGUUUUCGGAUCGUAAACUCCUGUUGUUAGAGAAGAUAAUGACGGUAUCUAACGAAUAAGCACCGGCUAACUCCGUGCCAGCAGCCGCGGUAAUACGGAGGGUGCAAGCGUUCCUCGGAAUCACUGGGCGUAAAGAGAGCGUAGGCGGGAUAGCAAGACAGAUGUGAAAGCCUAUGGCUUAACCAGAGAACUGCAUUUGAAACUGUUAAUCUAGAGUAUGGGAGAGGUAAGUGGAAUUCCAGGUGUAGGGGUAGAAUCCGUAGAGAUCAGGAGGAAUACUCGUUGCGAAGGCGACCUGCUGGAACGUAACUGACGCUGAGGCGCGAAAGCAUGGGUAGCAAACAGGAUUAGAUACCCGAGUAGUC
rnacentral:rRNA from 1 species